GACGAACGCUGGCGGCGUGCUUAACACAUGCAAGUCGAGCGGUAAGGCUCCUUCGGGAGUACACGAGCGGCGAACGGGUGAGUAACACGUGAGUAACCUGCCCCAUUCAUCGUAAUAACCAGUGGAAACGCUGGCUAAUGCCGAAUACGACCACCGAAGUCAUCUUCUGGUGGUGGAAAGCUCCGGCGGCGUGGGAUGGACUCGCGGCCUAUCAGCUUGUUGGUGAGGUAACGGCUCACCAAGGCGACGACGGGUAGCCGGCCUGAGAGGGUGACCGGCCACACUGGGACUGAGACACGGCCCAGACUCCUACGGGAGGCAGCAGUGGGGAAUAUUGGACAAUGGGCGAAAGCCUGAUCCAGCAACGCCGCGUGAGGGAUGACGGCCUUCGGGUUGUAAACCUCUUUCAGCAGGGACGAAGCGAAAGUGACGGUACCUGCAGAAGAAGGACCGGCCAACUACGUG
rnacentral:rRNA from 1 species